UACGGAAGGGCAAGCGUUGUUCGGAAUCAUUGGGCGUAAAGGGCGCGUAGGUGGUUCUGUAUGUCUACCGUGAAAGCAUACAGCUCAACUGUAUUUUGUCGGUAGAAACUGCAGGACUUGAGGCUGGGAGGGGCUGGUGGAAUUCCCUGUGUAGCGGUGAAAUGCGUAGAGAUGGGGAGAACACUCGUGGCGAAGGCGGCCAGCUAGACCAGUUCUGACACUGAGGCGCGACAGCGUGGGGAGCAAACAGG
rnacentral:rRNA from 1 species